CCUACGGGUGGCUGCAGUGGGGAAUAUUGGACAAUGGGCGAAAGCCUGAUCCAGCCAUGCCGCGUGUGUGAAGAAGGCCUUCGGGUUGUAAAGCACUUUCAGUGGGGAAGAAAGCCUUGGGGCUAAUACCCUCGAGGAAGGACAUCACCCACAGAAGAAGCACCGGCUAACUCCGUGCCAGCAGCCGCGGUAAUACGGAGGGUGCGAGCGUUAAUCGGAAUUACUGGGCGUAAAGCGCGCGUAGGCGGUCUGAUAAGCCGGUUGUGAAAGCCCCGGGCUCAACCUGGGAACGGCAUCCGGAACUGUCAGGCUAGAGUGCAGGAGAGGAAGGUAGAAUUCCCGGUGUAGCGGUGAAAUGCGUAGAGAUCGGGAGGAAUACCAGUGACGAAGGCGGCCUUCUGGACUGACACUGACGCUGAGGUGCGAAAGCGUGGGUAGCAAACAGGAUUAGAUACCCCGGUAGUC
rnacentral:rRNA from 1 species